AUUCAUCCUCUGGCAGGUAUAUGCCAUUGGUGAUAUCUUUUUACUGAAAUGGAUUUGGGCAAGAUGGAAAGAAAAGGAGAUGGGAUCCAAGAAGGAAUCACCCGAUGAAGACGUACAGGCUCCCACUGUGGAUGACUCUCAAUAUGUAUGAUUCUCGAAUUUUGUUUUAUCGCAUUCUGAACUUAGGAGUUAUACUAAACCGAGACCUUAUAAUCUUCUGUGUACCUAAUGCUUAUAUUUGCUGCUGCUUGUACUUUGUCUAUCAUCAUAAAUAAAAUUUCAUGAUUUUCUAUCUUUGGUAGGAAGAUAAGGAAGUUUGGUUACGAAUUUGA